GUGGCUGGGCCUUCCUGGUCCCCUGCCUGGCUGCGGUGGAGGCCAAGGACAGCCAGGACCCGGGGAAGACGCAGUUCUGUGAUGGCCAGGCCUGUGGGCACCAGGAGUAGAGGGAAGGAAGGAUGGCUGGGGCUGGGGGCUGGGAGCAGAGGGAUGCUCAGCCACCUGCUGUGGUGGACGGCUGAUGAGCUGUGCCAGAGACGCUGGGGUGGGCAGAGGACUGGGGAAACUGCAGUCUCCCAAGGCGGUCGGGAGCUGGCCUGGCCCAGGGAGGCCCCUCUGCUGGGGAACAAGGCCGAGGCCCGAGAGUGACGCAGCCUCCCGAGGCCACGCCGCCGGCGAGGGGCCAAGCCUGUCCUUCCCGAGUGCAGCACCACUUCCAGGACACACACGUGGUUCUCAGUGCUGGGGGCCGGAGCAGCCCCCGCCGGUCUGGCCAGGACUCAGUGCAGGAAGGGACCGCCCCAGGCAGGGACCGCCCCAGGCAGGGCCCUGUGAGGGACCUGGUGCCCUCACGGCUCUGGCAGCUGGCAUCCAGUUUUGAGCCACCCCAGUUUUGUUUUGUUUUUUUCUUUUAAUGUUUAAAGAAUGCAGCUGUAUUCACGUCCAUCGGGACAGCUCAAAAGGUAGUUGAUAAAUCUAUUCAAAUUUAUUUUCCUAGUAGAAGCCCUGAAGGGGUUGUUUCCUGUUUGUUGAAAUGAAAUCCACGUAGCGUGAAGCGGGCUGUUUCAAAGCGUGCGA